GACGAACGCUGGCGGCGUGCUUAACACAUGCAAGUCGAACGAAGAGCGAUGGAAGCUUGCUUCUAUCAAUCUUAGUGGCGAACGGGUGAGUAACGCGUAAUCAACCUGCCCUUCAGAGGGGGACAACAGUUGGAAACGACUGCUAAUACCGCAUACGAUCUAAUCUCGGCAUCGAGGAUAGAUGAAAGGUGGCCUCUACAUGUAAGCUAUCACUGAAGGAGGGGAGUGCGUCUGAUUAGCUAGUUGGAGGGGUAACGGCCCACCAAGGCGAUGAUCAGUAGCCGGUCUGGGAGGAUGAACGGCCACAUUGGGACUGAGACACGGCCCCGACUCCUACGGGAGGCAGCAGUGGGGGAUCUUCCGCAAUGGACGCAAGUCUGACGGAGCAACGCCGCGUGAGUGAUGACGGCCUUCGGGUUGUAAAGCUCUGUUAAUCGGGACGAAAGGCCUUCUUGCGAAUAGUGAGAAGGAUUGACGGUACCGGAAUAGAAAGCCACGGCUAACUACGUG
rnacentral:rRNA from 1 species